CCUACGGGAGGCAGCAGUAGGGAAUCUUCCACAAUGGACGAAAGUCUGAUGGAGCAACGCCGCGUGAGCGAUGAAGGCCUUCGGGUCGUAAAGCUCUGUUGUUAGGGAAGAACAAGUACCGGAGUAACUGCCGGUACCUUGACGGUACCUAACCAGAAAGCCACGGCUAACUACGUGCCAGCAGCCGCGGUAAUACGUAGGUGGCAAGCGUUGUCCGGAUUUAUUGGGCGUAAAGCGCGCGCAGGUGGUUUCUUAAGUCUGAUGUGAAAGCCCACGGCUCAACCGUGGAGGGUCAUUGGAAACUGGGGAACUUGAGUGCAGAAGAGGAUAGUGGAAUUCCAAGUGUAGCGGUGAAAUGCGUAGAGAUUUGGAGGAACACCAGUGGCGAAGGCGACUGUCUGGUCUGUAACUGACACUGAGGCGCGAAAGCGUGGGGAGCAAACAGGAUUAGAUACCCUGGUAGUCCACGCCGUAAACGAUGAGUGCUAAGUGUUAGGGGGUUUCCGCCCCUUAGUGCUGCAGCUAACGCAUUAAGCACUCCGCCUGGGGAGUACGAUCGCAAGAUUGAAACUUAAAGGAAUUGACGG
rnacentral:rRNA from 1 species